GGCUCCUCCUCUUCUUCUCCCAUUUUUACGACUAUAUACAUACACACACAAACAUAUAUCAACCUAUACAUACAGAUAUGUGUAGAUAAUCUGUAUCUAUCGCCAUCAAUCGAACAACUUCGAAUUUGCAAUCAUCGAAACCCCAAACCCCCUCAUUUGAUCCAGGAUCGGAGCUGGAAUUACUGUUCGGUAGCUGUGUAUAAUUUAUAUCCGGUUUCAUUUGAAUGGGAGUUUCGGGAAUUUAGAUUGAUGCUGACCUUGGAUUGACG
rnacentral:misc_RNA from 1 species